GAUGAACGCUGGCGGCGUGCCUAAUACAUGCAAGUCGAGCGAACAGACGAGGAGCUUGCUCCUCUGACGUUAGCGGCGGACGGGUGAGUAACACGUGGAUAACCUACCUAUAAGACUGGGAUAACUUCGGGAAACCGGAGCUAAUACCGGAUAAUAUAUUGAACCGCAUGGUUCAAUAGUGAAAGACGGUUUUGCUGUCACUUAUAGAUGGAUCCGCGCGGCAUUAGCUAGUUGGUAAGGUAACGGCUUACCAAGGCAACGAUGCGUAGCCGACCUGAGAGGGUGACAGGCACACCUGGACCUGAGAAAGGGCCAAGCUCCGUCGGGGAGGAACAAGUAGGGAUCUUUCCGAAAGGGGGGAAAGCUUGACGGGCAAAGGCGGGGGGAGUGAGGAGGGCUUCCGGUUGGUAAACUCUUGUAUUUGGGGAAAAAAAAAGGGGUAAGAACUUAUGACAGUCUGGCGGGACCCUACCAAGAAGGCCCGGCUAACUUCGUU
rnacentral:rRNA from 1 species